rnacentral:rRNA from 1 species
AUGUCACGCCUUCAGGUCCGCUCUUACUCUAGCCCCGUUUCCUCACGCGCCAACGAUCUGCUGACCGAACUCCACGGCCAUCUGGGCUUCGGGACGCUCAGGCCAGAGCUCGCGCACCAACUGUUCGACGAAAUGUUGGGCCAACCUGUCCCAGUAUCGGUGCGUGCACUCAACGGCUUAUUUGCUGCACUCGCGCGUGCGCCGCCCUCAACCGCCUGCACUGAUGGCCCUGCCCUCGCCGUUGAUCUCUUCAACCAUAUGGCCCGAGCAGGCCGCCGCUGGAUGACAGCACCCACCAUUCACACCUACAACAUACUAAUUGACUGCUGCCACCGAGCAUGCCGCCCAGACCUAGGGCCCGCCUUCUUCGGCUGCCUCCUCAAGACAGGAGUCACAACGAGCCCCAUUACCUACAGCAGCCUAUUCAAGUGCCUCUGUGACAUGAAGCGCACAGAGGCUCUAGACAUACUGCUCCAUAGGAUAGCCGACGACCUGCCUAAUGUCAUCUCCUACUCAGUGAUUCUCAAGAGUUUCUGCGACAGUGGGAGGAGCCAGCUUGCGCUUGACCUGCUCCGGGUGAUGGCCAAAAAAGGUGGUGACCGCUCUCCCGACGUGAUGUCAUACAACAUGGUAAUCGAUGGCUUCUUUAAGGAGGGUGAAGUAAGCAAAGCAUGCGAUCUAUUCCAUGAAAUGAUACAACAGGGGGUAGUGCCUACUGAGGUGACAUAUAGCUCCAUUAUCAAUGCGCUAUGCAAAGCAAGAGCAAUGGACAAAGCAGAGGUGGUCCUUCGACAUAUGGUUCAUAAUGGUGCCCAACCAGAUGUUGUGACAUAUACUAGCCUGAUCAAAGGAUAUUCAACUUUAGGCCAGUUAAAAGAAGUCGCUAGGUUGUUGAAAGUAAUGAGAAGCCAAGGUGUUAUGCCAGACGUUGUUACCUAUACCUUAGUCAUGGACUACCUUUGCAAGCAUGGAAGAAUCAAAGAAGCUGAGGAAAUAUUUUAUUCCAUGGCCGUGAAUGGCCAAAAACGAGAUACGGUCUCAUACUCUAUUAUGCUCCAUGGGUACGCUAUAGAAGGAUCCCUUGUUCAAAUGAUUGAUCUCUGUGAGCUGAUGGCAAGAGAUGGAGUUGUACCUGACCUCCGUUGUUUCAACAUACUGAUUAAUGCAUAUGCUAAGUAUGGCAUGAUGGAUGCGGCCAUGCUUUUCUUUGAAGACAUGUUGAAGCAGGGUGUGAAGCCUAAUGAAUUCACUUAUUUAACUGUGAUAUCUGCAUUUUGCAAGAUGGGCAGGAUGGAUGAUGCGGUGGAAAAAUUCAAUGAGAUGAUUGAUAUGGGAGUACCACUUGACACAGAAGUUUACAUGUGCAUGGUUGAGGGUUAUUUUAAUCUUGAUGAUUCCAUAAAAGCCAAGGAAUUUAUUACCAAAUUGAAGAACAGGGAUAUUCAUCAUAGGCCGCGGAAAGGUAAU